rnacentral:rRNA from 1 species
UACAGAGGUCUCAAGCGUUGUUCGGAUUCAUUGGGCGUAAAGGGUGCGUAGGCGGGACCGUAAGUCCGAGAGGAAAUCUCAAGGCUCAACUUUGGGGCUUUCUUGGAUACUGCGGUUCUUGAGGAUAUCAGAGGAAAGUAGAAUUCCCGGUGUAGCGGUGAAAUGCGUAGAUAUCGGGAGGAAUACCAGUGGCGAAGGCGACUUUCUGGGAUAUUCCUGACGCUGAGGAGCGAAAGCGUGGGGAGCAAACGGG